GCCAGCGCUGCGCCGCCCCCUCGUGGAGAAAGUGCAGACUGCAGCUUAAGGCACAGCCGAGGGAGAACUGGCUUUGAACCAGCAGCUGCUGCACACAUUUAUUUGAGUCCUGAGGGGAUAAAGGGGGCGUUAUGAACACAACACCAGAAGUGAACUCUGCAAAUGUGAGCAAAGUGGGUGACCGUGCGGGCAUAUUUUAGUUCAUCACAUGGUUUCUCACAGGUCCUGCUGUGGCCAAUCCGGAGACGGCUCGAAUACAAAACUCCAGCACCACCAGGGAGGCCACGCGGGAGCCCACCACGGCCAGCGUCCCGGUCACGAGCAGAAACUGGAGCUUCUCAACGAGUCCAGAGUGAGCUCUCCUCUGGUGACUGGGUGUCCUCUCGCUCGAUGCGUCCUUUGUGUCACUCCAACUGUGAGGCGUGAACGUAAAUACGUAAGUAUGUCGGUGAGGAUGGCGAACGACAUCGCUUAUGAGGGUCGUUUCCUCACCUCUCCUCUUCUAGAAACAGGUGCAGUCUCAUCAGGGAGCAGAGCACCGAGAUGCCACAAGCACCGAUCAGUCCUGCAGGUCACACACACGCGCGCACACACACACACACACACGCACCCACGUGUUCAACACUCCAACUCAACACUCCAACAGUUGAUAAACAGCAGCAAUGUGGACGUCAGAGAAAAUGAAGAGCUCACCUUGAAGUAAACUCGUCACUGGAUUUGCAUCGAGAGUGAACCACCCCGGUAGGAAGUAGGAAGUCGGACUGAGCGACGCGAUAAAGGAAAACAUCGUGCUAACGUCCGACUUUUAAAAUGUCACAGGUUCGAAACCCGUGCAUGGAUGUAAAUGUGAUCUUAGUAAUCGCACACUAAGGAACCAUGAUGUGUGUAUAUUCCCAAUCUGGUGACACAAACAUUAUCAGCUCAGCUCUUCUGCCUCGGCGUCGAGCUUUGCUCAUCGGGAGCCUGCAGGGGCUAAAGGUCGCAGGAGUGUCGGUGGAGCAGAGGCCUGGCUGCCUGACUCAUAACCACAGAGUGGAGGUUAUUGGGCCAUGAGGAAGGCUUCACACAGAGGAUGGCAGGUGAUACUCUCUGCAAGCUACAAUGUGAAGCAUUGAUUAUCUCAUAUAUCCUUUCUUUUUUAUCACAGAAGGCUGUAUUAUCUGUAUAUUUUAGAUAUUGCAUUUGGACAAAGAGCCGUUUCACACAAAACAAGGGUCAUCAGUGUACAAUAUUCAUGGUAUUGAACUGACAUCCGUCACCAGCGACAACAACACAAUUGCAGUCUUCCUCCGGCUACUUCAGGCACCAACGAUGCCACCUGUUAACAGAAAAAUCUAAUGCAACCUGAAAAAGUGACAUUAUAGUUCACGUUUUCACUCAGGGGAGGGAGAAAGUAUUUUUGUUAUCGACCCAUGGUCUGAUGAAAGCAGAGACAAACAAACCACACAGAGCACAAAUUGCCCUUUAUCACUGAGAAAGAAUCAUAUAAGCACAACCGAUGGAUUUAUAACCACGACCAAGGUCUCAUUCUAAGCCGCUUCCUGGUUACGUUAAGCGUUUCAGACUCAUGAGCACUAAUUACAUUUAUUUGAAUGUGGGAAUGUAAAGUGAUUGCGUUUUCAAUUAAAUUAAAUGAAUUUUGUAUUGCCCAAAAUCCCAAAUUUGCCUUAGAGGGCUUUACAAUAUGUACAGUACAUACUUUGUGAGUCUGAUUAUUUUCAGUUUGUUGCAUCUAAUUUUCAAAAUUACAAAACACACAUUGAUACCACUCGACUGUGCUGUUUCUCGUUUGUAUUUCCUGUGGUCACGACGGUGGGCGAGCGCUGAUUCCAGGCAGCAGAUAAAUCUCUGAGAAAAGGAAGGACUUUGCUCGUGGACUCCAACAGUCAAUGAGCAAUAUGAUCGCUGGAACGUGGACAACAUCAACAUGAACGUGGAUCAGUCUACUGCGAUGAGGAUCUACAACAGAACGCAACAAAAUCAAAUCAGCAGUUUUCAGCAUUGACUGGAGAUACUUUCAUAAGAAAUGACAGAAAUCCAGUAUUUACAUUAACACUGCAAGUCAAAGGCCCAGUUCUGCUGGAUGUGUAGUGUAUGUUCUCAUUCUGCUCUCGUAACUUUCUAUGUACAUGAAAUGAAAGUUUAAAUAAAGGUUGUAAAAUAA